UUUCUGGCCCCUCCUUCCAAGACUAAAGGCACAGCAGUUCUGAGACCUCAGAUGACCUCACCCGCAAAGCGAGCUGGAUGCAUAUCCACACCCACCUCGGGCUGUAGAGAUGAAGAUGCAGAGACUCAGCAGUGAAGGGGGUCAAGAGCAAGUAUAUCUAGGGGGAAAAAAAGAAGAAGAAGAAGAAGAAGCAUGUCUUCUGAGAAAAAAAACUGUGUGUCUCAAAAAUUCAGCUUGACGAAUUUCACAGACUGACCACACUUUUGCAACCAGCACUAAGAUAGAACAUCUCAGAAACAAAGAGCUUCCCCAUUGCCACGGGCCACUGGUCCCCCCGCAAGAGUAACCACUCUCCAGACCCUGACACCCUUGCCUGGCUUUGAACUGUAUAUAAAUGGGAUGAAAGUAUAUGUUCUCUUUAGUGUCUGACUUUUCCUGCUGACGUUACUGUUGAUAUAUCCUUCUGUAUUGCUACAUGAGGCUGGCAUAGUUUUUUAUCUUUUUUUUAUCACCAAGUAGAAUUGCCACCACCACCACUCAGCGCUCCCCGCAUCCUCCACCCGCCACUCCAGGCAUUGCAGACACUGUCAGUCUUGGCACUUAGCAACAGUGCCACCGUCUAAAUCCCAGCACCUCUGUUUGGUGAACAAAAGCACAUGUUUCUGUUCAGCAUGAACUUUGAGUGGACUCAGGAAUCACAAAGCAAGUCUGUGUACAGCUUUUUAAAAACUUUUGAGGCGUUCCCGUCGUGGCUCAGUGGAAAUGAAUCCGACUACCAUCCAUAAGGACACAGGUUCAAUCCCUGGCCUCGCUCAGUGGGUUAAGGAUCCAGCAUUGCUGUGAGCUGUGGUGUAGUUCGAAGACACAGCUUGGAUCUGGCAUGGCUGUGGCUGUGGCAUAGGCCAGAGGCUAUAGCUCCAAUUCGACCAGUAGCCUGGGAACUUCCAUAUGCCACAGGUGCAGCCCUAAAAAUAAAUAAAUAAAUAAAUAAAUAAAAACUUUUCAACAGUUUUCAAAAAUGUUACCAAAGUAUACUUUUUUUAACCCCUAUUUUACAUAUAUUAUACCUACUUAAAGAUAAUCCAGUAUAUUAAGGUAUAGAUUUAACACAAAU
rnacentral:lncRNA from 9 species